UAUAAAAGUAGAAUGUAGAAGAAUAAAGUUUGCUCUCAUCUUUACCAUCAUGGAGAGUCAUGUUGUUAUUUCUGUGCCGUCCGAAAACCAUAGCAACAUCUGGUGACCUGACGUUUCGAAGAAGUUCAGCGCAGCCGGGACUGAUUCAUGCAGCAAAGCUUGAAAAUUCUACCUGCCUCCUCAGAGAGCAGGUUCAGCAGUCGUGUUACCCAUCACCUCUGAGGAGUGAAAAGGGACAUUGCAUAGCCUUAGUGGCUGUCACAUAGACUGCAAAGAUGACCAUGUGGUUGGAAGUUAUGGAGACAACAGAAGUCCUGUGUCAGCAGCAUGGUCCUGUUUUCAUCGAUCUUCCUCGAGUCACUCCCUGCUUCAGACUUCAAGAAGACAUCCAGUGAUGCUAAGGAUCAACAUCUUGUCUCAAUGGACUUUUUCUUUUCAUGUGUUUUAAUUCUAUAGUAGAUGUUGUUUCAUUUAAGUUUCCUACAUAGAUGUAGUUGUAUUUUAGGUAAUAUUUCACGUGCCUUCGGUGUAUGUUUUGUAGUUAUUAAGGGCUGUUAUUUCACUUUGUGGUUUUUGCCUUUCUGGUCUUUGGGAUCAUGUAGAUUUUUUUUGGAGUCAGAUAUCUUUUUAUUGAUAUUUUUAUUAAUUUUAUUAUUCUUUUUUUUCUUUCUAGGUGACAUCCUACAGAUAUCAUGGGCCAAUUGAGUGACCAGUGGUCCAGUCCUGCACAUCCUGCAAUGGGUCUUUGCCCUUUCAAACAUCACAUGCAUUUUUUGCAUUUAAAAAAAAAAAAAAAAAAAAAAAAAAAAAAAAAAAAAAAAAAGGGUCAACUCAGGUUG